rnacentral:rRNA from 1 species
GAUGAACGCUGGCGGCGUGCCUAAUACAUGCAAGUCGAGCGAACAGACGAGGAGCUUGCUCCUCUGACGUUAGCGGCGGACGGGUGAGUAACACGUGGAUAACCUACCUAUAAGACUGGGAUAACUUCGGGAAACCGGAGCUAAUACCGGAUAAUAUAUUGAACCGCAUGGUUCAAUAGUGAAAGACGGUUUUGCUGUCACUUAUAGGUGGAUCCGCGCCGCAUUAGCUAGUUGGUAAGGUAACGGCUUACCAAGGCAACGAUGCGUAGCCGACCUGAGAGGGUGAUCGGCCACACUGGAACUGAGACACGGUCCAGACUCCUACGGGAGGCAGCAGUAGGGAAUCUUCCGCAAUGGGCGAAAGCCUGACGGAGCAACGCCGCGUGAGUGAUGAAGGUCUUCGGAUCGUAAAACUCUGUUAUUAGGGAAGAACAAAUGUGUAAGUAACUAUGCACGUCUUGACGGUACCUAAUCAGAAAGCCACGGCUAACUACG